GAUGAACGCUGGCGGCGUGCUUAACACAUGCAAGUCGAACGGAAAGGCCCAAGCUUGCUUGGGUACUCGAGUGGCGAACGGGUGAGUAACACGUGGGUGAUCUGCCCUGCACUUCGGGAUAAGCCUGGGAAACUGGGUCUAAUACCGGAUAGGACGAUGGUUUGGAUGCCAUUGUGGAAAGUUUUUUCGGUGUGGGAUGAGCUCGCGGCCUAUCAGCUUGUUGGUGGGGUAACGGCCUACCAAGGCGUCGACGGGUAGCCGGCCUGAGAGGGUGUACGGCCACAUUGGGACUGAGAUACGGCCCAGACUCCUACGGGAGGCAGCAGUGGGGAAUAUUGCACAAUGGGCGCAAGCCUGAUGCAGCGACGCCGCGUGGGGGAUGACGGCCUUCGGGUUGUAAACUCCUUUCGCUAGGGACGAAGCGUUUUUGUGACGGUACCUGGAGAAGAAGCACCGGCUAACUACGUG
rnacentral:rRNA from 1 species